rnacentral:lncRNA from 1 species
ACAGCCUAGCUGGUGGAUUACACCUUAGCCAGACUGGCAAUGUAUUGCUUUUGGUCACAAAAACCGUCAGUAAUAGUCGCAUUAACUAUUUUGCAUGCCUCUUUUGGGAAGCAAGUUGCAAAUUAUUGUGAAAUUAUUUUUAGGAAAAAUAUUCACCGUUCACUUAUUUUUUACACAUUUUUUAAAAAUACAUAAUUCUUUCAUUUUUUAGUUGGAAUUCACCUAAAGUUACAUUUUUUUUCACUUUUUCACUUCCGUUUGGAAUCCGUUAAGCAAACUAACGGAAACUUAAAAAAAUGACCAUUUUACCCCCAAAACGAAAAUUAAAAUUUCACUCUAAAAAAUACCAAAAAUAAUAAGAUUUAAUGAUGAAUAUCAUUAUUGGUACGUUAAUAAAGUACAAAAAAAUCUUAACUACUAGAGAUUAUAACUCAAUGAAUAAUAAAAUUUUACUUAUCUUAAAUUCAAUUGAUGGUUUGUGAGAUUGGGCUAUUUUUAAUACUACUGUUAUAAUUUAGCAUUCUAAUUACCGACAUAUUUUAAAAAAAAACCUGUAUUUGAUGGUUGUGGAAUUAAUUUCUUUACUGACCGAUGGGGAAAAUUAUUAGAUUUAAUCUAAUUAUUUUUUAUAAUUUUUAAGGUGAAAUUGUAAUUUUCGUUUUGGGGGUAAAAUGGUCAUUUUUUUAAAUUUCCGUUAGUUUUCUUAACAGAUUCCAAACGGAAGUGGAAAAGUGAAAAAAAAUGAAACUUUAGGUGGAUUCCAGCCAAAAAAUGAAGGAAUUGUGUAUUUUUGAAAAAUGUGUAAAAAACGGGUGGACGGUGAAUAUUUUCCCUUAUUUUUAUGAUAUCAUUUGCGCAAGAGUGAAAGAGGUACGACUUUAAUAAGGACGAGCGCAUAUAGUGCCAUGUCAUUUUGAUUCAUUCAUUAAAAUUUGAUCAUAAAUAUCUUUAACCGAAGUAAAAUUUUGGGUGCUGAAAAGAAAAGUGGCACUUUGUUAGCCUUUUUUUUUAAAAAAAUUAAUUCCCCCCCCCCCCCCCCCCCCAAGAGAUCAACCGUGUUAUUUAUUGUCCUAGUCCAUAUUCACCUCUGGGUUGGUUCAACUUGUGCUUUAUUGUUACACGAUAAUAAUAAUAA